CUGUCGCAGGGCGCGUAGUCCUCUCUGGAGUGUAUUUCAACAACAGGGCACGGACAGGCCUCGGUGCCGUGUCUUGUGGUUGUGCGGCAGGGGUGAUUGAGUGGUUUCUGCUCCUCCCUGGAGGCCUGUGAACUUGUCCUCUCCUCCUUUUGCUGAGCCUUUUGUGGAGCAAAAAACUCUGCAGUCUUUCCUUGUCGCUGUGAAUGUGAAGCUGCUAAUGUCUGCAUUUAAGCAGAUGUCCUGGGACGUGCCCCGUGAACGAGAGCGAGUGUGCGAGCGUGUCUGUGGGACGCUGCUCCCCCAUCCUCCCUGCCCAGCGCUUCUGCAACAAGGACGUUGGUCCCGAGAUCGAAUCUAAAUCAACUUGGCUGCAAUUUCAGGCUGUUGCUUUGCAUCCUGCUCUCUGCAGCAAGGGUGGAAAGUCUUCUCUGUCUUCGACAGCCUUUCAGGGAUUUGAAGGUGCAGCCCUUUGCAUUUGCCUCCGCUGAACCUCAUCCUUUUGUCUCGGGACCAGCUCCUCCGUCUGUCAAGGUCCCUCCCUUCUCCAGCGUUUGCAGCGUGUCACCUGCAGACGUGCUCAGGAAGCCCUUGGCGUCUGAAUCGUUAAUAAACAUGUUUAAAUCA